GAAAUGUGAUAAGUAGUGUGAAUUGCAGAAUUCAGUGAAUCAUCGAAUCUUUGAACGCACAUUGCGCCCCUUGGUAUUCCAUGGGGCAUGCCUGUUCGAGCGUCAUUUGUACCCUCAGGCUCUGCUUGGUGUUGGGUGUUUGUCCCCGUCUCCGCGCGUGGACUCGCCCCAAAGUGAUUGGCAGCCGGCGUACUGGUCCCGGAGCGCAGCACAUGUCGCGCAAACGAGUGCCUUGGUACGGCGGCGUCCAUAAGCCCCUCUCUCACGCUCUUGACCUCGGAUCAGGUAGGGAUACCCGCUGAACUUAAGC
rnacentral:misc_RNA from 1 species